UCCACAUACGCAUCCUUUGCUGAGGAUACGGUUAACGGAGCGCAAGCGACGUUCAACCUCAAAAGAAGCAGAGGGGGCUUAGUGGUGGGGUGACUGCGUACCUUUUGUAUAAUGGGUCAGCGACUUAUAUUCUGUAGCAAGGUUAACCGAAUAGGGGAGCCGGAGGGAAACCGAGUCUUAACCGGGCGUUAAGUUGCAGGGUAUAGACCCGAAACCCGGUGAUCUAGCCAUGGGCAGGUUGAAGGUUGGGUAACACUAACUGGAGGACCGAACCGACUAAUGUUGAAAAAUUAGCGGAUGACCUGUGGCUGGGGGUGAAAGGCCAAUCAAACCGGGAGAUAGCUGGUUCUCCCCGAAAGCUAUUUAGGUAGCGCCUCGUGAAUUCAUCUUCGGGGGUAGAGCACUGUUUCGGCUAGGGGGUCAUCCCGACUUACCAACCCGAUGCAAACUGCGAAUACCGAAGAAUGUUAUCACGGGAGACACACGGCGGGUGCUAACGUCCGUCGUGAAGAGGGAAACAACCCAGACCGCCAGCUAAGGUCCCAAAGUCAUGGUUAAGUGGGAAACGAUGUGGGAAGGCCCAGACAGCCAGGAUGUUGGCUUAGAAGCAGCCAUCAUUUAAAGAAAGCGUAAUAGCUCACUGGUCGAGUCGGCCUGCGCGGAAGAUGUAACGGGGCUAAACCAUGCACCGAAGCUGCGGCAGCGACACUCAGGUGUUGUUGGGUAGGGGAGCGUUCUGUAAGCCUGUGAAGGUGUGUCGUGAGGCAUGCUGGAGGUAUCAGAAGUGCGAAUGCUGACAUAAGUAACGAUAAAGCGGGUGAAAAGCCCGCUCGCCGGAAGACCAAGGGUUCCUGUCCAACGUUAAUCGGGGCAGGGUGAGUCGACCCCUAAGGCGAGGCCGAAAGGCGUAGUCGAUGGGAAACGGGUUAAUAUUCCCGUACUUGGUGUUACUGCGAAGGGGGGACGGAGAAGGCUAUGUUGGCCGGGCGACGGUUGUCCCGGUUUAAGCGUGUAGGUGUGUGUUCCAGGUAAAUCCGGUUCACUUUAACACUGAGGCGUGAUGACGAGGCACUACGGUGCUGAAGCAACAAAUGCCCUGCUUCCAGGAAAAGCCUCUAAGCAUCAGGUAACAU
rnacentral:rRNA from 3 species